UGAAGAGGAGAGAAUAAAAAAAAAAAGACCGUUAGGAAGAAAAAAAAAGCAUAAUGCAUAAAGAAGGAAGAAGGGACACGUAAGAGAAUUCAAAGAUGGCGCGUAGAUGGCAUGCAAGUCGUGCGUGGUGGUGCUGCUGCUCUUGGUGAUGGUGGUGGUGGUGGUGGUGGUAGUGGUGAUGAUGAUGAUGGUGGGGUUACAAACUAACACCCCCACCAUGUAGCACACGGCGCAGAAAAUUCUCGUUGAAGCUGAGCAAACGCGAAUGAAGAAUCAGUCGCGCGCCGAACAUCAACUCUGUUUCUCGAGACGAGAAGAAGAAUUUCACGGUGAAAAUCAUGAAGCAGGACGCGAAUGGUGUACUGUUGAAAGAAGAUGAAGACGAAGGUGAAGGAGAAGGAGAAGGAGAGGGAGGGGUGGUUUGAAACGCGGCUUUUCUCGAACGGCUCGCAACCACAAAUGAUGAUGAUGAUGAUGAUUCGUCGUCGUCGUCAACGAGAGAAUAAACUUCGGGUUAUUUCCGGUUCUCUGAGUGUUCACGUUCUUUCGGAAAUUAAAACGCGUGCCCAAAGCCCCUUAUCAUUCUCCUGUCCGGUGUACAAUCGUCAAACGACUGGACGGAGAACUGAUAAGGGCCCGAGGGUCACAGAAUCAUCAUAUGAAGAGAAAGAAAUUCCAUAGAUCUUUAAAAUGGCGUCGUACGAGUUCCCGGAAGAAAUAUACGAAGAAGGGUCAAACUCUAGUAUCGGUUAAGGAAAAAAAAAAGAAAAGAAAUAAUCUACAUGUAAUAGUAAUAUAUUAUAUAUUUUUUAUAUUAAUAGUCCCAAUAAGAGGAAGAAGGAUCAUCGAUAAACUAUGGCAGAAAAAUUUACUUUGUUCAUUAUGUACAAAAUGUUCAUAGGCAAUUAAAUUUGAAAUUAAAUUAUCAUAUAAGUCAAAUUAAAUAUA